rnacentral:rRNA from 1 species
GGGGGGCGGCUACACAUGCAGUCGAGCGGUAGCACAGGAGAGCUUGCUCUCCGGGUGACGAGCGGCGGACGGGUGAGUAAUGUCUGGGAAACUGCCUGAUGGAGGGGGAUAACUACUGGAAACGGUAGCUAAUACCGCAUAACGUCUUCGGACCAAAGUGGGGGACCUUCGGGCCUCAUGCCAUCAGAUGUGCCCAGAUGGGAUUAGCUAGUAGGUGGGGUAAUGGCUCACCUAGGCGACGAUCCCUAGCUGGUCUGAGAGGAUGACCAGCCACACUGGAACUGAGACACGGUCCAGACUCCUACGGGAGGCAGCAGUGGGGAAUAUUGCACAAUGGGCGCAAGCCUGAUGCAGCCAUGCCGCGUGUGUGAAGAAGGCCUUCGGGUUGUAAAGCACUUUCAGCGAGGAGGAAGGGUUCAGUGUUAAUAGCACUGUGCAUUGACGUUACUCGCAGAAGAAGCACCGGCUAACUCCGUGCCAGCAGCCGCGGUAAUACGGAGGGUGCAAGCGUUAAUCGGAAUUACUGGGCGUAAAGCGCACGCAGGCGGUUUGUUAAGUCAGAUGUGAAAUCCCCGCGCUUAACGUGGGAACUGCAUUUGAAACUGGCAAGCUAGAGUCUUGUAGAGGGGGGUAGAAUUCCAGGUGUAGCGGUGAAAUGCGUAGAGAUCUGGAGGAAUACCGGUGGCGAAGGCGGCCCCCUGGACAAAGACUGACGCUCAGGUGCGAAAGCGUGGGGAGCACACAGGAUUAGAUACCCUGGUAGUCCACGCUGUAAACGAUGUCGACUUGGAGGUUGUGCCCUUGAGGCGUGGCUUCCGGAGCUAACGCGUUAAGUCGACCGCCUGGAGAGUACGGCCGCAAGGUUAAAACUCAUAUGAAUUGACGGGGGCCCGCACAAGCGGUGGAGCAUGUGGUUUAAUUCGAUGCAACGCGAAGAACCUUACCUACUCUUGACAUCCAGAGAAUUCGCUAGAGAUAGCUUAGUGCCUUCGGGAACUCUGAGACAGGUGCUGCAUGGCUGUCGUCAGCUCGUGUUGUGAAAUGUUGGGUUAAGUCCCGCACGAGCGCAACCCUUAUCCUUUGUUGCCAGCACGUAAUGGUGGGAACUCAAAGGAGACUGCCGGUGAUAACCGGAGAAAGGUGGGGAUGACUUCAAGUCAUCAGGCCCUUACGAAUAGGGCUACCACGUGCUACAUGGCGUAACAAAGAAAACCAACUCCCGAGACCAGCGGACCUCAAAAGUACUUCUAAUCCGGAUCGGAGUUCGCACUCCACUCCGGAAAUCGGAAUCCUUUAAA